rnacentral:rRNA from 1 species
GACGAACGCUGGCGGCGUGCCUAAUACAUGCAAGUCGAACGAGAGCGACCGGUGCUUGCACUGGUCAAUCUAGUGGCGAACGGGUGAGUAACACGUGGGUAACCUGCCCAUCAGAGGGGGAUAACAUUCGGAAACGGAUGCUAAAACCGCAUAGGUUCUUGAGUCGCAUGACUGAAGAAGGAAAAGAGGCUUCGGCUUCUGCUGAUGGAUGGACCCGCGGUGCAUUAGCUAGUUGGUGAGGUAACGGCUCACCAAGGCCGUGAUGCAUAGCCGACCUGAGAGGGUGAUCGGCCACAUUGGGACUGAGACACGGCCCAAACUCCUACGGGAGGCAGCAGUAGGGAAUCUUCCGCAAUGGACGCAAGUCUGACGGAGCAACGCCGCGUGAGUGAAGAAGGAUUUCGGUUCGUAAAACUCUGUUGUUAGAGAAGAACAGCGCAUAGAGUA